AUUGAACGCUGGCGGCAUGCCUUACACAUGCAAGUCGAACGGCAGCACGGGGGCAACCCUGGUGGCGAGUGGCGAACGGGUGAGUAAUACAUCGGAACGUGCCCGAUAGUGGGGGAUAGCUCGGCGAAAGCCGGAUUAAUACCGCAUACGACCUACGGGUGAAAGCGGGGAUCGCAAGACCUCGCGCUAUCAGAGCGGCCGAUGUCAGAUUAGGUUGUUGGUGGGGUAAAGGCCACCAAGCCGACGAUCUGUAGCUGGUCUGAGAGGACGACCAGCCACACUGGGACUGAGACACGGCCCAGACUCCUACGGGAGGCAGCAGUGGGGAAUUUUGGACAAUGGGCGAAAGCCUGAUCCAGCCAUG
rnacentral:rRNA from 1 species